CUUGGGUUGGACUGUGACUGCCUGGGAGGGACCUAAACAUUUCUCUUUUUCAGUGCCAUGUAUUUCAAGAAGAAAGAAGCUGAGACAUCUGAGAACUUUGCAUCCUGGGGGACUUGUUUUGGAGGAGAGCACUCCAAGCAAGAUGAACAUAAUUCAGAUCGAAACUAAUCUUGGAGGAGUUACAAACGUGGGGCCUCCGGUGGUUUCUACAGAAUUUCCCCUGGAGACAUUCAGCGUGGCGUGGGCCCAGCUCCCACUGGGAGAUGUACAGGACCCAUGCCCAUGGAUAGGUUCUCCCGUGGGGAAUCAGGCCUGCUAUGUACCUAGGCCCCUUUGAGUCUUGCUUUUUGCUAAAAACUCCCUCACUGGGAUUUGUGGCAAACAUUACUGCAAAGUCACUUCCUAAAAAGCAUGCUAAACCUUCCAAGGACCAGUGUAACCCUUUGGACCACUCUUGCCUUUUCAUUUGCAAAUAUCCCUCUUCCCUGGUGUGAUUACCAGCAUCCUCUCCUUUAUUUUCUGUAAAAGAUAACCACCUAAAGCAAACCUGUGCAUAGUAAAUGAGGAGCAUCAUGUAAUGUGCUGAGAAACCCAAUAAAAGC